CCUGGCCAUAUGUUUUCUUUUUGUCAUAUUAAGAAUUGUUUUAAUUUAAUAUGUUCGUACGGAAAACAAGGAACAUUAUUCUCAUACAAAAAAUUAAGAUAAUUCUAAAUACACAUUCAUAAAAAAAAAAAAUGGAAUGUAUUACAAAGGAUAAUCAUAAGAUAUACUUGAAUUGUCCUGGACCUCACUUCUGUGAUGGGUAUAUGUUAAUGGCAUCCUUCUCUGAAUACGGGACAAACAUAUUAGUAGUGGUAGACCCCAAUGGCCAAAGUUCUUCAAUUUAUACCGAAUAUUGACUGUCAAAAAAAAUGCUAACAUUCCAAUUUUCAAUAACAGUUAACAGCAAAUACAUUAUCACAAUAACAGAUAACAAAAAAACUAAAAGCCCAAUAACAGCUAACAAAGAA
rnacentral:lncRNA from 1 species